ensembl:lncRNA
GAAAAGAUGACAUAAAGCCAGAAUCGUUUAGAAUACUUAGGGUAAGAUAAGAUGUAAGUAAGUAGAUGGUUUAGAGAAUUAUAAGAUAAAAUCAAAAUUUGGUAAUAGACAAUUGAAUAAUGAAAAACAGAAAUUCUUCCAGCUGAAUUAGAUUAAAUGUUUUGGCAGUCUUAAAAUAUGUCCAAAAUUAUUUGACAGUUUUUUCAAGGAUAGAGACUAAUUUUCUUUCCUGAGAUUGUGUUGGACUUAGUGACUCAUUUAUAAUGAGCAGGAUAAAACAGAACCAAUUGUGAUUCCUGAGGUUAGGUCAUAAAAGACAGAGGGCUCUGUCUUGCUAUGCUUUUUGGAUCCAUUGCCCUUGGGGAUAUCAGUUGCCAGAUGUCUUAGGAAAAGGUAUGUGUUGCAAGGAACCAUGGUUGUGCAAAUGAGCCAGCUUAGGAGAAGAUCCUCGGCCCCAGUCAAGCCUUCAGAAGACCUUGAGCCACAGCCACCAGGUCAACUUUAUCUACAGAACCAUACACUUAUCAAAGCCCCAGAUACUCAGAGGAAUAUCAAGUGACAGGUUCUAGUAUAAAAGUGUGAGUCAUUAACAUAAGAUGGGCCAAAUGUCUGAGUAAUGUUUUAUUGCUGUUCAAAAAAUGUAAGACUGAAAGAAAUAUUUUCAAAGAAUCAUGAGUUUCAUAAAACAUGUCAAUGGGUUUUCUGGAGUUAAAGAAAUCAAUUCACUACUCCUUUACGUCAAUGAAAAAGUAUAGAUCAGGAAAAAUACUGAGGACUAAGUUCUAACUAGUUCUUAUAGCUCCAUUUAUUAAAAGUAAAAAAAGUUGGGUAUGUUUAACAGCAUGGAUCUUUCAAAUAGAACAUCAUUUUACCAAACAAAAUGUUAUUUUUCUCAUCUGUGCAUUUAGCAACCUUAAGAGUCAGUGUUUAACUACAGUGAGAAAAGUACAAAUCUAAGAUUUGGAGAAUGUGGAUUUCGUGUCUAUUUACUUGACAUUAUAGAUGCAUUUCAGCCAUUGUCAUAACCCUCCUCUGCCUGACUUCUUUAGCUGGGAAAUGGUAGUGGAUGAGUUGCCAAUAGAUUGUUCCCUAGAAUAUUAUAAUAUAAUGUCUGUGAAAGUUCUUUAAGUGCUUUGAAAAAUAUGUUCAAUAUACAUUUUUUCCAAAGAAAAUAUGAAAACUAUUUUUGCGUGUGUGUGUGUGUGUGUGUGUGUGUGUGAAAGCUCAUCUUUCACUGUGAUUUCUGAGUUACUAGCUUAUUAGAAUCCUUUUCUACUAGGAUUUGGUUGAAGAUGGAGGAAACUGAAAAGGGCAUGUCAGGUAGAGAGGAUUAGAAUAGCAACGGGCAGGGUCUGCAUCAAGGCACCAAGACUAGAAGCAGAUAGAAGGAGAAUUUGACUAUUAGAAGAGUAUAUUUAGUACUAAUAUUGAUUUUAUUAGCAGCAUAUGAUAGUUUGCAAAAUGCUGAGUUUGAGGUGAUUUUACAUAUGUGUAUAUACAUAUAUUAAUGUGUGAUUUGUACAUACAUGUAGGGUGAUUUUUAUGUA